UGCUUUACACACGCAAGUCGAACGGAGUUAAGGAGCUUGCUCUUUAAUUUAGUGGCGAACGGGUGAGUAAUAUAUCGGAACGUACCCGGCAAUGGGGGAUAACGUAGCGAAAGUUACGCUAAUACCGCAUAUGCCCUGAGGGGGAAAGCGGGGGACCGUAAGGCCUCGCGCUAUAGGAUGAGCCUGCGUUGGAUUAGCUAGUUGGUAGGGUAAAGGCCUACCAAGGCGACGAUCCAUAGCUGGUCUGAGAGGACGAUCAGCCACACUGGGACUGAGACACGGCCCAGACUCCUACGGGAGGCAGCAGUGGGGAAUAUUGGACAAUGGGCGGAAGCCUGAUCCAGCAAUACCGCGUGUGUGAAGAAGGCCUGAGGGUUGUAAAGCAC
rnacentral:rRNA from 1 species